GUACAGUGUCUCCAGCCUCUCCAACACACAGGAGUAAUAUCUUUUCACUCAUCUUAAACAUCUUGUCAUGAUCGUCCUUCAUCUGGACAAUAUUGCUGGCGGCCACCCGGUCGGAGGCGACAAGAACAUAGUCGGGGCCUUGGAUACCGAUGAGGUACUCCAUGGUGGCGGAAGGCCAGGGGCUGCAGGUCCGACACAGCACGAGACUCGCCCGCUUCCAGGUCUCACCGGUGAG
rnacentral:lncRNA from 1 species